rfam:Schistosoma curassoni strain Dakar, Senegal genome assembly, scaffold: SCTD_scaffold0000241
AUCCCGCUGAUGAGUUCGAAAUAGGAAGAAACGCGAGUCCUGGAU